ACGCACGCUGGCGGCAUGCCUAACACCUGCCAGUCGCACGAGACCUUCGGGUCUAGUGGCGCACGGGUGCGUAACGCGUGGGAACCUGCCCUUAGGUUCGGAAUAACUCCCCGCAAGGGGUGCUAAUACCGGAUAAUGUCUUCGGACCAAAGAUUUAUCGCCUUUGGAUGGGCCCGCGUUGGAUUAGCUAGUUGGUAGGGUAAAAGCCUACCAAGGCGACGAUCCAUAGCUGGUCUGAGAGGAUGAUCAGCCACACUGGGACUGAGACACGGCCCAGACUCCUACGGGAAGCAGCAGUGGGGAAUAUUGGACAAUGGGCGAAAGCCUGAUCCAGCAAUGCCGCGUGAGUGAUGAAGGCCUUAGGGUUGUAAAGCUCUUUUACCCGGGAUGAUAAUGACAGUACCGGGAGAAUAAGCUCCGGCUAACUCCGUG
rnacentral:rRNA from 1 species